rnacentral:tRNA from 1 species
AGGCUGAGUAGCAGAGUGGUUAUGCACCGGAUUGCAAAUCCGUGAACGCCGGUUCGAUUCCGACCUCAGCCUCCAA